rnacentral:rRNA from 1 species
UACAGGGGGUGCAAACGUUGCUCGGAAUCAUUGGGCGUAAAGCGCACGUAGGCGGUUCGUUAUGUCGGAUGUGAAAGCCCUUGGCUUAACCGAGGAAGUGCAUCCGAAACUGGCGAGCUAGAGUACUAAAGAGGAUCGCGGAAUCCCCGGUGUAGAGGUGAAAUUCGUAGAUAUCGGGAGGAACACCGGUGGCGAAGGCGGCGAUCUGGGUAGAUACUGACGCUGAGGUGCGAAAGCGUGGGGAGCAAACAGG